GGUGAUGAGAUCCAAGCGACAGUGUCUGCGGUGUGGUGGCAGGCAGGGAAUACCGGGACCUUACGAUGUACUUACAACUCCAAUGCCUCUUAUAUUUAUGUGGCCUGGUAUCGGCAGCAUCCCGGUGGACCGCUCCAGUACUUGCUGCAGAGCAAGGGCCGGGGAGGCUCCUAUAGCCACACAGCCCCUUUUGCUCGCAAGAGGUUUUCCUGCCAGGCUGACAAGAGCUCCGGGACACUGUUCAUCUCUGGGCUGGAGCUGGGGGACAGUGCGCUCUAUUACUGCACACUGCAGGGACCACAGUGGGAGACACUUGGGGCAUGUCUGAACAACAUCAGCUUCCUCCUCUCCAGCUGUCCCCUCCUGCAUGUUCGCAGGGAUCACGGCCCAUCGCAGUGGCAAGUCAGUGAGUAG